GGAGUAGCAGAAAGAUACACACAAACACAAAGGAAGAGAGGGAAGCAAGAUGAAAGAGAGUGAUAACAAAGAGAGACAAAUAGAGAGAGAGGAAAAGAAAGAAUGAAAGAGAAACACACACACACAUUUUUUCUUUUGUCCAAGAUAAAAAGAUUUCAUUCAUGUAAAAUAAAGAAGUUGGUAGCAGCCUUUGAAUCGAAGGAGGCUUGGGUCUUCUUUUUUAGAGAGAGGUGGUACACAGAGAACGGAGACAGAGACAUCCUAUCCCCUUGGAUAGUUACAAAGGGUGGGAUGCGAGUCUACAUCU
rnacentral:misc_RNA from 1 species